CCUACGGGCGGCAGCAGUGGGGAAUAUUGGACAAUGGGGGCAACCCUGAUCCAGCCAUGCCGCGUGUGUGAAGAAGGCCCUCGGGUUGUAAAGCACUUUCAGUGAGGAAGAACGCCUGGUGGUUAAUACCCAUCAGGAAAGACAUCACUCACAGAAGAAGCACCGGCUAACUCCGUGCCAACAGCCGCGGUAAUACGGAGGGUGCGAGCGUUAAUCGGAAUUACUGGGCGUAAAGCGCGCGUAGGUGGCUUGAUAAGCCGGUUGUGAAAGCCCCGGGCUCAACCUGGGAACGGCAUCCGGAACUGUCAAGCUAGAGUGCAGGAGAGGAAGGUAGAAUUCCCGGUGUAGCGGUGAAAUGCGUAGAGAUCGGGAGGAAUACCAGUGGCGAAGGCGGCCUUCUGGACUGACACUGACACUGAGGUGCGAAAGCGUGGGUAGCAAACAGGAUUAGAUACCCUUGUAGUC
rnacentral:rRNA from 1 species